CCGCUCAGAGGUAAACGGGUGGAGUUGAACUGUGAUCUUUGUGGAUUUAGCUGGUGAGUGUGGUCUGAGCUUGGUCAUACUGGUUGUGUUCUGGAAUCUGCUCAGCUGCAGGUCUCUGCCUUCGGGUAGGGAUGCGCGAUGCACUUAUCAAGUGUUGUGCGUUCCAUUCUUUCGAGCCAGCUCGCCAGUGCACUUUCACAGAGUGUUCACCACGACCGGCAUCGCUGUCUGGCUGUUGUGGUUAAACCGGCCUUUCUUUGUCUUCGUGACUUUGGAUUGUCGGGAUGGCAGGUAGCUCGUUGGUCAGGCUUGUGGUUCGCUGCAGGUUUUUGGCUCUCGGGUGUUAUCAGCUGACCGCAUCGGUUCUGUGCAGUAUGUCGGAGACGGCGGCUUGUGGUACAUGCGUGCGUACUAGUUGGUU
rnacentral:rRNA from 1 species